rnacentral:tRNA from 1 species
GGGUCUGUAGCUCAGUUGGUUAGAGCGCUACGUUGACAUCGUAGAGGUCAGCCGUUCAAAUCGGCUCAGACCCA